GAAAUAUCUUAGCAAAUAUAAUAGUGUGGUGACAUGUUAUUUGAAAAACCCCUCUUCCUAGUUUAAAAAAAAGCAUAAAAACCUAGCAGCAAACCCAGGUUGACACAAACAAUGUCUCCUCCUCCAACAUCAAGAUCCUCAGAUGUUGUUCUGAAAGACAGGUUCAUUGGAUACCUAAUUUGGCAAUCCAUUCCUUCAACUCUCAUUUUGGUCCUCUUCUCUCUCUUCACUUCCCUUUUCCAAAAAAGCGUAUUUUUCCCAUUCCUCAUUUCCUUCCUCUCUUUCCAUCUCUCGAAUCUGAUCUUCUCUUGUUCUCUUUCCCUCAUCUCUUCCCCUUUCCCACACCACACUCCUUCGCCGCUCCGCCUCGCUGUCCCUUUCCUCCGCUUCCUCUUCCUCCCGUCCCGCUCCAGUUCUUCCUCGUCCCCUAACCCUUCCUUUUCUUUCCUUUUAUUCGUCGCGGCUUCCGGUUUCUCCGCCGCGGUUUCGAUAUCCGCUUUGAUUGGGAUUGCGGGUUGUCAGGAUGGUUGGGUUUUGGUUUUUAGGAGAGUGGGUUUAAGGGGCUUCUUUGUUGGGUUAUUGUUUGGGGUACAUUAUGUUUUUAUGCGCAGAUGGAUUCUUGAGUUUCCUAUUAUUCAGGUUUGCUCUUUUUUCGAAAAUGUUUUCUUGUGCGAUAUUUAUACGUAAUUGGAACAACAAUUGCUUUGUGCUAGUGUGGGUCAAUAUUGAGGCAUUUUAUGUUUUGAGGUAAACCUUGAUGCAAUGGUAAGGUUGUUUGACUUGUUACCCGAAUGUCAUGGGUUCAAAACGUAGAAUCAUUGCAUGCAUAUAUGUUAUUGUGUGCUUUGAGGUAGAGUAGAGAAAUAUUGAUAAAUGUAAAUUCUUGUCCCAAAUAAUAGUGCCAUUGUAAAGUAUGUGGAGAAGAAUAGUAUGAAUCUAUGGACCAAACUCGCAAUCCUAAGUUUUUAUUUUGGCAAUUGGCACAACGACAAGGUUGUUGCUUUGUGACAAUGAGGUCAUGGGUUUCAAAUCCUGGAAACAGCCUCUCCACCUGUGGAGGUAAGGCUGCGUACAUGUACCCUCCCCAGACCCCACUAAGUGGGAGCCUUAUGCACUGGGCCGCCCUUUAGUGUACUACAUGAGACUCAAUAAGAGAGAUUGUAUUAUAAAGUGUAAGAAAGAGUGUAUUGCUAGCUUUUUAUUCCAAAACUGUCUCCUGUGUUUUUACGACUCUGUUCAAUUUGCUGCUCUGCUUGUUCAGCUUGAAUGUAUUGCCUGUGGUAAUUCCUGGUAUGCCUCCCGUGAUGCGGUGUCUGUG
rnacentral:lncRNA from 1 species